UCGCCGCUGCCGCCAGUGCCUGUGCUUCAUGAGGAAGAUGCUCGCUGCCGUCUCCCGCGUGUUGUCCGGCGCUUCUCAGAAGCCGGCAAGCAGAGUGCUGGUAGCAUCCCGUAAUUUUGCAAAUGAUGCUACAUUUGAAAUUAAGAAAUGUGACCUUCACCGACUGGAAGAAGGCCCUCCUGUCACAACAGUGCUCACCAGGGAGGAUGGGCUCAAAUACUACAGGAUGAUGCAGACUGUGCGCCGAAUGGAGUUGAAAGCAGAUCAGCUGUAUAAACAGAAAAUGAUUCGUGGUUUCUGUCACUUGUGUGAUGGUCAGGAAGCUUGCUGUGUGGGCCUGGAAGCCGGCAUCAACCCCACAGACCAUCUCAUAACAGCCUACCGGGCUCACGGCUUUACCUAAACCCGGGGCCUUUCCGUCCGAGAAAUUCUCGCAGAGCUUACAGGACGAAAAGGAGGUUGUGCUAAAGGGAAAGGAGGAUCGAUGCACAUGUAUGCCAAGAACUUCUACGGGGGCAAUGGCAUCAUGGAAGCUCAGGUGCCCCUGGGCGCUGGGAUUGCUCUAGCCUGUAAGUAUAAUGGAAAAGAUGAGGUCUGCUGACUUUAUACGGCGAUGGUGCUGCUAAUCAGGGCCAGAUAUUCGAAGCUUACAACAUGGCAGCUUUGUGGAAAUUACCUCGUAUUUUCAUCUGUGAGAAUAAUCGCUAUGGAAUGGGAACAUCUGUUGAGAGAGCAGCAGCCAGCACUGAUUACUAUAAGAGAGGUGAUUUCAUUCCUGGGCUGAGAGUGGAUGGAAUGGAUAUCCUGUGCGUCCGAGAGGUGACAAGGUUUGCUGCUGCCUAUUGUAGAUCUGGGAAGGGGCCCAUCCUGAUGGAGCUGCAGACUUAUCGUUACCACGGACACAGUAUGAGUGAUCCUGGAGUCAGUUACCGUACACGAGAAGAAAUUCAGGAAGUAAGAAGUAAGAGUGACCCUAUUAUACUUCUCAAGGACAGAAUGGUGAACAGCAAUCUUGCCAGUGUGGAAGAACUAAAGGAAAUUGAUGUGGAAGUGAAGAAGGAGAUUGAGGAUGCUGCCCAGUUUGCCACGGCCGAUCCUGAGCCACCUUUGGAGGAGCUGGGCUACCGCAUCUACUCCAGCGACCCACCUUUUGAAGUUCGUGGUGCCAAUCAGUGGAUCAAGUUUAAGUCAGUCAGUUAAGGGGACUAGAACGGGAGGUUAUACCUUCAGGGGGCUACCAGUGUUCUCAACUUGGUUAAGGAGGAAGAAAACCCAGUCAAUGAAAUUCUUGUAAAUUUCCAUUAAGACUAAGUGUGUAGAUUGAGCAGGUAGUAAUUGCAUGCACUUCGUACAUUGUUGCAGUAAAAGAUUAAUUAUGGAGUGCU